AAAAACACCAUGUCUGGUGUUGGGAUCGAUCGAACAAGGGCAGGGAGAGGGUGAAAAACCCUAAACUCAAGAAAUCAAGAAUUGAAGCUUAAAUCUCAAGAAAAUUCGAUGCAUGAGCCCCUCUUUGCGAAAAUCUGACCCUAAUUAUUGAAGUGGCGUGAAAGAAGAAGGUACAAGCACUAAGCAAGCGGAAGGAGCACAAGAUCGAGGUAAAGCACCUCUAUAGGCGAUUUGGAGAUAUGGGACGAGCACAUGUUCAAGCCUUAUAAUACCAAGCGCUUCCGCAACUUAUAUGCAUGCUUUUGGGUCCAUGUUUUGUUACUUUGUUUAACUUUGUUGAAAUGUUUUAGAUUUGAAAACUCGUUACUUUUGUUGGAAUGGUUUUAUGUAAAAUGGGUCGUAUGUAAACGUUGUAUGUUAUGUCAAAACAGGGGGUAUGUCCGUUUUACAAACGGGUCAUGCCCAAUUUUUGUAAAAAUUUCUAUUAAGUGUCAAAAUUGUAUUUCAA